GGACUGACGGUACACCGCCCAGGUGCUUUACCGUCACGCUCCGAACAGCUAAAAGCCCCGCCGGCUCGCACGGGGUGCUCUUCACCGAGUGUCCCGAGUGGCCGGCACGUUUACUUUGAAAAAAUUAGAGUGCUCAGAGCAGGCUACACGGACGGCCUGAAUGUCUAUGCAUGGAAUAAUGGAACAGGACCUCGGUUCUAUUUUGUUGGUUUUCGGAACCUGAGGUAAUGACUAAUCGGAACAGGCGGGGGCAUUCGUACUGCGACGCUAGAGGUGAAAUUCUUGGACCGUCGCAAGACGAACUACUGCGAAGGCAUUUGCCAAGGAUGUUUUCAUUAAUCAAGAACGAAAGUUAGAGGUUCGAAGGCGAUCAGAUACCGCCCUAGUUCUAACCAUAAACGAUGCCAACUAGCGAUCCGCCGGCGUUAUUCCCAUGACCCGGCGGGCAGCUUCCGGGAAACCAAAGUCUUUGGGUUCCGGGGGAAGUAUGGUUGCAAAGCUGAAACUUAAAGGAAUUGACGGAAGGGCACCACCAGGAGUGGAGCCUGCGGCUUAAUUUGACUCAACACGGGGAACCUCACCAGGCCCGGACACCGGAAGGAUUGACAGAUUGAGAGCUCUUUCUCGAUUCGGUGGGUGGUGGUGCAUGGCCGUUCUUAGUUGGUGGAGCGAUUUGUCUGGUUAAUUCCGAUAACGAACGAGACUCUGGCCUAUUAACUAGUCGACGGAUCUCCAGCAUGUGGUGUCCAGUUCGCAACUUCUUCUUAGAGGGAUAAGCGGCAAUUCUAGCCGCACGAGACUGAGCAAUAACAGGUCUGUGAUGCCCUUAGAUGUUCUGGGCCGCACGCGCGCUACACUGAAGGGAGCAACGUGUUCUCCCCCUCCGAGAGGAGCGGGUAACCCGUUCAAAGCCCUUCUUGAUAGGGAUUGGGGCUUGCAAUUGUUUCCCAUGAACGAGGAAUUCCCAGUAAGUGCAAGUCAUCAGCUUGCGCUGACUACGUCCCUGCCCUUUGUACACACCGCCCGUCGCUACUACCGAUUGAAUGAUUUAGUGAGGCCUUCGGACUGGCGCUCUUGGAUGCUCUACCCCGCGCGCCUCCUCGGCGCAACGGGUUCUCGCCUCGAGCUGACGGAAAGAUGUCCAAACUUGAUCAUUUAGAGGAAG
rnacentral:rRNA from 1 species